GGGGGAAUUUUCCGCAAUGGGCGAAAGCCUGACGGAGCAAUACCGCGUGAGGGAAGACUGCCUAUGGGUUGUAAACCUCUUUUUUCAGGGAGGAAUUUUGACGUGUACCUGAAGAAUAAGCAUCGGCUAACUCCGUG
rnacentral:rRNA from 1 species